rnacentral:rRNA from 1 species
UACGUAGGGGGCUAGCGUUGUCCGGAAUCAUUGGGCGUAAAGCGCGCGUAGGCGGCCCGAUAAGUCUGCUGUGAAAGUCCAGGGCUCAACCCUGGAAUGCCGGUGGAUACUGUCGGGCUAGAGUUCGGAAGAGGCGAGUGGAAUUCCUGGUGUAGCGGUGGAAUGCGCAGAUAUCAGGAGGAACACCAAUAGCGAAGGCAGCUCGCUGGGACGCUACUGACACUGAGGAGCGAAAGCGUGGGGAGCGAACAGG